AAAAAGUCAAACCCUGUAUUUCCGUGUCCAACUUUGACUGUCCAUCUUAUAUGAAAUUUUUUUAUAAUUCGUAUUUUCAUUAUUGUUAGAUAAUAAAACAUGAUUAACAUUUUAUGCGUGACUUGUCUUUUUUUUUCAUAAUUUUUUUAAAUAAGACGGACGGUCAAAUGUUGGGCACGGAAACUAAGGUUUGUCUUUUUU
rfam:Oryza sativa Japonica Group DNA, chromosome 12, cultivar: Nipponbare, complete sequence.